CGUUAAAUCAACGUUUUACCACCGCGUUAUCCGUUCGUCAUCUAUGAACACGAUUUUCCUGGUUGCUAACUGCUCUCAGUGAAACGGAUAUGAUGGUGAAAUGGCUCCCUCCGGUUCAAAUAUUGAGCAGCAAGCCUUUGACGGUAUUAAUACAUUGGCCGCGAUUGAUCCAGACAGCGCAGCCGAUGGUAAAACAAGAUCCAUCUCCAACAUUUUUUAUGAGAA